rnacentral:rRNA from 1 species
CCUACGGGUGGCAGCAGUGAGGAAUAUUGGUCAAUGGGCGAGAGCCUGAACCAGCCAAGUCGCGUGAGGGAGUACUGCCCUAUGGGUUGUAAACCUCUUUUGUCGGGGAGCAAAAGCCGGACGUGUCCGGCUGUGAGAGUACCCGAAGAAAAAGCAUCGGCUAACUCCGUUCCAGCAGCCGCGGAAAUACGGAGGAUGCGAGCGUUAUCCGGGUUUAUUGGGUUUAAAGGGUGCGGAGGCGGAUUUUUAAGUCAUCGGUAAAAUCGUGGGGCUCAACCCCAUCCAGCCGUUGAAACUGGGGAUCUAGAGUGUGCGAGAGGUAUGCGGAAUGCGUGGUGUAGCGGUGAAAUGCAUAGAUAUCACGCAGAACCCCGAUUGCGAAGGCAGCAUACCGGUGCACAACUGACGCUCAGGCACGAAAGCGUGGGUAUCGAACAGGAUUAGAUACCCUUGUAGUC